GAUGAACGCUGGCGGCGUGCCUAAUAUAUGCAAGUCGAGCGAACGGACGAGAAGCUUGCUUCUCUGAUGUUAGCGGCGGACGGGUGAGUAACACGUGGAUAACCUACCUAUAAGACUGGGAUAACUUCGGGAAACCGUAGCUAAUACCGGAUAAUAUUUUGAACCGCAUGGUUCAAAAGUGAAAGACGGUCUUGCUGUCACUUAUAGAUGGAUCCGCGCUGCAUUAGCUAGUUGGUAAGGUAACGGCUUACCAAGGCAACGAUGCAUAGCCGACCUGAGAGGGUGAUCGGCCACACUGGAACUGAGACACGGUCCAGACUCCUACGGGAGGCAGCAGUAGGGAAUCUUCCGCAAUGGGCGAAAGCCUGACGGAGCAACGCCGCGUGAGUGAUGAAGGUCUUCGGAUCGUAAAACUCUGUUAUUAGGGAAGAACAUAUGUGUAAGUAACUGUGCACAUCUUGACGGUACCUAAUCAGAAAGCCACGGCUAACUACGUG
rnacentral:rRNA from 1 species